CAGCUCCUAACUGACCUUUACUUCCACAGCGCCCUGUGUUCUUGAGAUCUAGGGCUUGUUGAAUAUUUGCCUUCUCUGAUUCCCCCCGGCCGGGAGUCCCCAGUUUCUCUUUGUUCUCCUUUCUAAGGCAUCCUCAGUGAAUCAGAGCUGGUUUUCAGAGAAGUUACAAAAGACCCAUCCCACUGGUAACAUGAUCCCUUGCCAAUUCCUGCCCUUAACAGGACUGGAAACUUUCACUUUUAGCUCUCCAAUCUACAUGUUUUAUUGCAUUUGUUUUCUAAAAUACAUAUUUUUAAAAGGUGGAAAAGUUAUAUUACAAACAAAAUGAAAAUGUCAGAGGCUGGCAGAACAAGCUACAUGUGUUCGGGUUGAGGUCCAGUAAGACUGGUGAAGGCAGCAGGCUUUGUGUUGCCCUUGAAGAAUGUGUCAUCAUCUGCUUUUAAUGGCCUUAUCAGCAGGGCAAAACCAAUAAAUCAUGUGCUGCCAGCACAAAAACCAAGUGCUUUCCUCCGAGCCAGAUGAUUCCAUUGUUGUGCUGGGCCUCUCUGUGAGGUUGUAAACAUGGCAUUCUCUGCCAGUAAGACACAUGCUCCUCCUGUCAUUAUUUUUUUUUAAGGAGACAUAUUGAGGUGAAAUUUACAUAUCAUAUAACUCACCUACCUUAAGUGUAACGUUCAAUGAUUUUUUUUCUUCUAGUAAAUUUACUGAGUUGUGCAACUAUCACCACAAACCAAUUUUAGAACAUUUCCAUGAUCUCAAAAAGAUCCCUUGUGCCCAUUUGUAGUCAACCUUUGUCCCUAUGCUCUAGCCCCAAGCAACCUCUAAUCUGUUUUCAGUCUCUCAAUGUUCACUUUGUCUGGAUAUUCUAUAUAAAUGGAAUUAUACAAUUUGUGAUCUUUUGUGUUUGGCAUCUUUCACUUAACCUAAUGUGUUUGAGGUUCACUUAACCUAAUGUGUUUGAGGUUCACACAUGUUGUAGCAUGUUAACAAACAGGAUCCCAUUGUCUGGAUACACCACAUUGUGUUCAUCCAUUCACCAAUUGAUGGACAUUUGAAUUGUUUCUGAUUUUUGGCUAUUGUGAAUGAUCCCUUCCUAUUCUUGUUGAGCUAAAAAUGAUGAUAUGGAAGGAGCUUGGGAUUUGGAGUCAGGUCCUGGGGAUUUGGAGUCAAGUCCUAGCUCUGACAUUUACUACUUUAGUUAACUAGAAGAUUUAUUUUCUUUUCUAUAGAGUGGAGAUAAUUAGCCCCUUCCUUCUCCUGUUCCUAGAAUAGCUGUAAGAAUCAAGUGAGGUGAUGUAUGUGAAAUUCUUUAUGAACCGUAAAACCCAGGAUAAAUGAGAGACAUUAUUGGAGUAGUCUUUCCAGAUGUAUUCAAAUGGUCUAGAUGGUCCUCAAGAUAUUUUCCAUAUUCGUAGAACAAAUUAUGAAGCCUUUGGCUAUAGAAAAUACCUAUACUUUUCUUCUGUGGACUUGGGGUUCUCAUCCCUUUUCCCUUAUCAAAGUCCAUUAUUUAAAAAAAAUGUUCAGAUAUCAUUCUACCUCUCUUAAAUGUACUUGUAUUUUAAACCUUAGUUUUGAUUGUCAGAUAAGGUUUUCUGUUGAAGAGAGGGUCUUCAGAUACUCUAGAAUCAUUGUAGGAAGUAUGCAAAUCACUAUGGUUGAAGUUCUCAUUUAAUUAGAGCACCCUCCAACCGACAGACUCAAUUUAGCUUCUUGUGUACUUCAGGUGAUUAUGAAGGGCAGGCCCCCAAUGAGGGGACUGGGUGCAGAGUCAAAUGCAGGUUGAGAGGUUCCAGUGAGUCAAAGGAAAGCCUAAGCAAAUGUUGGCAGCCUCCAGUCAAAGAUGUAAUGACAAUCUACAGUCAUGUACCAUACGACCAAGGUUCUUGACUUUUGCAGCUCUGACGUUGGCACUUCCACUAUGUAGUAAUAAUGAUGAGAGCUCAGGUUUCAUGUGCACUUACUCUAUAUUGGAUAUAGUAGUUUAGACACUUAGUUCAUGUCUUGUCCAAAACAAAGCAGCUAAUAAUUUGCAGAGCCUGGCUCAAAAUGGCUCUUAGUCUGUUUUUAUUUUUAUAUUUUAAUGAUACUAUUUAUCUGCAUAAACUUAAGACACUGUAAAGGUAAUUGAUAUCUUUUUUGGUAUCUUUUUGUAUUUUUUAAGUUGACAAUAAUUGUAUAUAUUUAUGGCAUACAACAUGAUGCUUUGAAGUAUGUAUAUAUUGUAAAAUGGCUACAUUGAGCAAAUCAACAUAUUCAUUACUUCAUAUACUUUUUUUGGUGAUGAAAACACAAAAUCUACUCUCUUCGAGGUUCUCAAGUAUACAAUGCACUAUUUUAACUAUUGUCACCAUGUCGUAC
rnacentral:lncRNA from 10 species